rnacentral:rRNA from 1 species
UACAGAGGGUGCGAGCGUUAAUCGGAAUUACUGGGCGUAAAGCGUGCGUAGGCGGCUAGCUAAGUGGGGUGUGAAAGCCCCGGGCUCAACCUGGGAAUUGCAUUCGAGACUGAAUAGCUAGGGUGCGGUAGAGGGAAGCGGAAUUUCCGGUGUAGCGGUGAAAUGCGUAGAUAUCGGAAGGAACAUCAGUGGCGAAAGCGGCUUCCUGGACCAGCACCGACGUUCAGGCACGAAAGCGUGGGGAGCAAACAGG